CGCGUACGCACUCGGGCAUGGCGUGCUGUUUUGUUCAGCGAGGUAACUGAACCGCUGGUGGUGCUCUCACGAAGACAAGGAUAUGCCGGGCACAAGUGACGUCAGUAUGCGCGUAGCAGCGUCAGCCGUGCGCCAAGACUUGCUGAGGGUCGACAGCCAGUGAGUGUUUGCGCGUGUGCUCGCGCGCUGCGAGUGCGCAUGCUUUCGACCGGCAAGCCCGCGAUGGAAAUGCCCACGGGUCCAGCCCGGAGCUCCACCCCGCGGAGCUAGACUGCGUAUGCCUCGCGUGCACUUUGGCCGAAACGGUUCGACCAUGCGCGUAAGCACAAUGCCGGGGGCUGCCCGCACUCGGCGCGGGAUUUGUCACGGACAUACUGCUCUACCCCUCGGCGUCGUGCCUUGGGUUGCAAAGGACAGCGACGGUCGACACACUGGAAUGUGUUCGGAAGAACCGUCCGACAGCGCAGCAAGGUUCCUGCAGUCAGCGGGCCUUUGGCUCCCUGAGCAGCAGUGACUCCUAACGCACUGUGAACUCCAGCUUCCUGCUGGAUGCGAGCUGUCACAAGCGUUUUGCCGGUGAGCCCUUCACGUGUAACGUCGACAGUGUUUUACCGUGGCCGCCGCUACAUUCUCGUCUGCGUUUCGAAAACCGGUUCUCGAGGCCAAUAAAGUACUGUCGUCUGUUGUGGA